GGCCUCUAGAUUCUACUUGCUUCCAACAAGCUACUCUACCCAAGAUUGGAGCAGCUGCCACAGGGAUGCCCCAUGAGAUUGGCGAAGCCAGUCAAGUCCUCUUGAAUUGCUGCCUGCAGAUGUUGAGAUCAUUUUUUUGUGAGUGUUACUGAGCAACGGCUAUAACUUACAGCUUCUAUACAGUAGAAGAACUUCAAAAUUCAAACUGUCUUUGCAAAAUUGAAAAGCCACAGACAACUUUUGAUGCUUCCCCGAAGCCAUCAGGUCGUUGUGCUUGUCACUGAGUGCUCUGGUGAUUCUCUGGGCCAGGCCGCAGGCUUCUCCAGCUGUGCGGAGAUGGGCUUCACCUUGUGGCUCCGCCCCUCCGAGGCUGCGUCUGCUGCUUGGAAGAACCGUGGAGUCUGGCGAUCGGGAACGUCUCAUUGCACCCCUUUUCCACACCAUCUGUCUGACCUGGACCCAUUCCAAACACUACGGCGUUGCUGGCAGACUGGUCUUCCUGCUGCAGAAGUUUUGUAAUCUGCUAAUUGACAGGGUAAGGAAAAUUUGUAUUUGGGUUACAGCUGAAAAGUUGGAUGUUUCUUUGAUGGGGCUUUAAAUACUGACAUAUGCUGCAUUGGUUUUUGAUUUUAGGCAUCUCGUUUGUGCACGAUCACGCGCUCUCCCCUGUGUUCUCUGCCUCAUUGAGAAUAUGGCAUCCUCGGAGAAGAACACCGAUACGAUCUACCAGAGCAUUAUCCUCUACUUAGUUUACUCAUUAAGCAACGAUUUUAUUAUUAUUAUCUCUUUGUAGCAUGAGACAGAUGGCAAAGAAGGAGUUUGCUUUACUGAACAAGACGGAGCGCUGGGCACGGCAAAUCUCCUGGAUGGUUAAUAUCUCCGGUCGUCAUUGGGCCCUAAUGAGCGUGUUUGCUUUUGUGCAAGGCCCGGUCCCACACUCAGCUCUUAAUUCAAGUGCAAAGUUGUUAUCGAUCCUCUUUUUCGUGCACAUAGGCUAAGGGGAGAAGAACCCUAGAGAAGGAAAUAUCAUGAAAAAUGUGCUGUUCAAGUUUACAUUUGUGGUCGCCCUCAUCUUGCAAUUGUGCUGUAAAUCUCAGUGUCAGCAAGGGUGGUCGUGGGCAAUGAUCAGACCCAUGUCCCUGGAAGGUGGUCCUCCCUACGCAGGCGCUACAGGCACAUGUUGGGGGUACCUCAUGAGUGCGGAGGGGGGAUCCUGAGACUCUGGCUUCCGCAGUCCCCUCUUGGCCAUACCCCUGGACCUGCGCUGAGCAGCGCUUGGCAUGGGGAAAGAUGAGAACGAAAGAGGACUUCUGCUCUACCUUUGAAAACUUCAAAGAAACCCUUCCCAAUCUGGUUCUGAUGAUCCAGGUCUCAGUGCAAAAUCAUACAGAAAGAUCUGAAAUCUGCACACUGAUCAGAAAUCGUUUUUGGAAAUUCAGAUUUAAUCCCAUGAGCCAAAUGAUCACUACCAACAGCGAUCAGGGAAAACCAAAGUCCACAGCAAAUUUUAAUUUGGCAA
rnacentral:lncRNA from 1 species